GAUGAACGCUGGCGGCGUGCCUAGUACAUGCAAGUCGAGCGAACAGACGAGGAGCUUGCUCCUCUGACGUUAGCGGCGGACGGGUGAGUAACACGUGGAUAACCUACCUAUAAGACUGGGAUAACUUCGGGAAACCGGAGCUAAUACCGGAUGAUAUAUUGAACCGCAUGGUUCAAUAGUGAAAGACGGUUUUGCUGUCACUUAUAGAUGGAUCCGCGCCGCAUUAGCUAGUUGGUAAGGUAACGGCUUACCAAGGCAACGAUGCGUAGCCGACCUGAGAGGGUGAUCGGCCACACUGGAACUGAGACACGGUCCAGACUCCUACGGGAGGCAGCAGUAGGGAAUCUUCCGCAAUGGGCGAAAGCCUGACGGAGCAACGCCGCGUGAGUGAUGAAGGUCUUCGGAUCGUAAAACUCUGUUAUUAGGGAAGAACAAAUGUGUAAGUAACUAUGCACGUCUUGACGGUACCUAAUCAGAAAGCCACGGCUAACUACGUG
rnacentral:rRNA from 1 species